rnacentral:tRNA from 2 species
GUUUUUGUAGUUGAAUACAACAAUGGUUUUUCAGACCAUGAGUCUUGGUUGAAGUCCAGGCAAGAAUU